GCAUCACUGAGGAGUCCCAUACUAGGACGAAACGGUCGUCCAAUGC
rnacentral:hammerhead_ribozyme from 1 species